GUCAGGAUGGUCGAGUGGUCUAAGGCGCCAGACUCAAGGUAUACAUACCUAUGUUGAGUGUUCUGGUCCACAAAUGUGGGCGUGGGUUCAAAUCCCACUUCUGACA